ACGGUUUGGUCUCACGGGCGGAGAAGGGAGAGCAAGCUAAGAGCUAAUGGUUAAUCCUGUGUGCACAAGGCCACUAGAGAGGAUUGGCUGCGGCUACAAAGAAAACUACAGGGUAUAGAAGCCGCGGAAGAGGAAAAAGAAGGAGAAAUAAAGUUACAUCGAGGCAUGAAGAAAGCUUGCUAAAGAAGAGAUAAAGAGGACAGCUUCUGGGUGGAGAAAUGUGGAAGGCGGCAUCGCGGACAAACUGUGAAUUGGCGUCUUACUGGAGGUGAAAACCUGGUCAAAGUCCAGCAGUAGCAACAGCGCAGUCGACAACAGCUUCAUCGACCUGUUUGACCGUCAGGAAUGUGCUGGCAUCUCGAAAGCUAAGAAAUCCCCAGAAAACUUGACAAUGGGAGCCAUGGCCAAGUAUGUAGCUCUAAAUUAGACAUGUUGUGUUCUUUCUAACUUACCGACUUCUAACUCUGCUGUUUAGUUGGCAGCUGGAGCCACUGCUGCGAAAGCAGUGAGAAUAAAGCAACAUGUAAAGGCAUCGUCUAUGAGCAAAACAUUAUAAUGUAAUUUGAUGAGUUGCUAUGUGACCAAUUACUGUCCACAUUAACAGUAAUUUGACCAUGAUCAGUGAGAUUGUGUGGAGUUUGCAUGUUCAUAAACCAUUAUGAAAUAAUGUGGGUUUUGAGUGAAAAACUUUGAUAAACAUACAGUAUACUGAAUACUGCACGUGCUGUGUAGAAUUUAUAACUUAGACCAACUCUUAAUACUUUCUUUAAUUUAAAAUCUUUCAUUCAUGCCACUUGUGUCACAACACCUGUUUUGUGAAGGCCUUGGUUUAAUUAACUGCUUGGUUGUGCAGUACCAAUAAAAAAAAAUAUAAAAGCAUUCCAACAUUCUAUCAAUAAAAUGUGUUCA